CUUUAAGGAGAGGCCCCUUUUCAGCAACAUAUUCCAUAAUUGCGGAAAUUUGUCUUCCUUAUAAGCCUGUGCGGACUUACCUGGCUUACGUGGGAGGAUUUGGUUAACUGGGGCGAUACUUUACGCGCAUGCAUUAUUCCAGGUCUCUCAGAGCUAGGCUGAUUUAUAAUCUAUCUGCUUUUAUUGGAUCAGUUUUCUGCAACACUUGUAAUAAAAAUGGAAUCAUUUUUCAUAUAUCUGUAGUGUGUUAUCUUCAUCCAGCACAAAAUGUGAAUCACUGUUUUAAAUGUUGUGAUAUGAAAACAUUAAUUGACAAACUAAGAUAAAAUUAUACAGAUUAUUACCAGUAUUUUACAAUCUGUCAUUGACUCUUAAUGGACAUGUUUUUAUUUAUAGAUGGAUAAUUGAUAACUAAGUUGUUAGUUAUUGAAAUGGUUAGUUUUUAGCUCACCUGUCACGAAGUGACAUGGUGAGCUUAUGUGCCUGUGUGAUGUCGGUUGUGCGUGAAUGUGUGUGUGUGCGUGCGUGUGUCCCUAAACAAUUUGUUUGUGUAGACAGUAGAGGUCACAGUUUUCAUCCAAUCUUUAUGAAAUUUGGUCAGAAUGUUUAUCUUGAUGAAAUCUGGGUUGGCAUUGUAUUUGGGUCAUCUGGGGUCAUAAACUAGGUCACUCUAGGUCAAAUAAUAGAAAAACCUUGUGUAGACAAUAGCGGUCACAUUUUUCAUCCAAUCUUUAUGAAAUUUGGUCAGAAUGUUUAUCUUGAUAAAAUCUGGGUUGGGAUUGUAUUUGGGUUAUCUGGGGCCAAAAACUAGGUCACCAGGUCAUAUAAUAGAAAAACCUUGUGUAGACAAUAGAGGUCACAGUUUUCAUCCAAUCUUUAUGAAAUUUGGUCAGAAUGUUUAUCUUGAUGAAAUCUGGGUUGGGAUUGUAUUUGGGUCAUCUGGGGUCAAAAACUAGGUCCCUAUGUCAAAUAAUAGAAGAACCUUGUGUAGACAAUUGAGGUUAUAGUUUGAAUCUGAUCUGCCUGUCAUUCAUUUCGUGUCUCAAACCUUUAACCUUGGUUAAAGUUUUGCAAUAACUUUUGCAUUAUUGAAGAUAGCAACUUGAUAUUUGGCAUACAUGUGUAACUGAACUCAUUGAGCUGCACAUUUUGAGUGGUGAAAGGUCAAGGUCAAAUAUAUGGCUUCAAAGCGGCGCAAUAGGGGGCAUUGUGUGUUUGACAAACACAUCUCUUGUUAAUCUUGAAAAACAAACCUAGAGGUCACAGUUUUCAUCACGUCUUAAUGAAAUUUGGCCAGAAUGUAUUAAUUUAUGAAAUCUGGGCCAGUGGCUUGGGAUUGUAUACUGGUCUGAUAGAAUUUAAGUUGAUGUGGCAAGGUUAGUCAGGUGAGCGAAUCAGGGCCAUCUUGGCCCUCUUGUUUAUUUUCAUGGGUGAAACAUUUGUUAUGCCUGACAUGUGGAAUAUGGGUGCAGCUGUGAUUCAUAGAUGUUUUUCUUUAUAAAUUGCUAUAUUUGAUGUCAUAUGUAUUGUUCUGCUCAAUGAUUGCUUGUUUUAUGCCGUAACCAAUAGGUGAAAUCCAUGUGGAUCAGAACACCUUUGAUGUUACCCACUAUUGUCAAGUAUAUAACAGGGGCUUUCUAUGCAUGUCUUUUUAUGCAUUCUUGGCAUUUACUUUAUGCAACCUGAUUAACCCUAAAUUAAAAUAUUUAUUUUCAUUUUGCAUCGAUUUUUACUUCUAAUGCUAUGUUAUUAAACGUCAAUGCUUUUGGCUGGAGUUAUAUAUUUGUCAUGCACCUGAUGACAACUUGUUGUAUGUUAACCAAUAAAUACAAUUUUAUUUUAAAUUAAGUUUGUUCUAACAUGUUUUAAUGAGUAUUUGGGUAAUUCAAAUGAUGAUUCAUUUACUACAUGGUUCUUACGUUCUAGACUGUUUUCUGCACUGUUUACAAGUAGUUUUAAAGCAUUUAUCGUGUGUGUUUUUUAUAUGAACAUCAGCCAAUACCAUGUUAAAAAGGAUCGAUUGCUAUUGCAUUUUUAACUACACUUCCUUAGAUCAAUCUCAUACAAACACAUUUUAAGUACACACAUGUUCUAACAUGCCAUCUUAGAAACAAAUUAGCCUUGUUCUAUGAAAACUGUGCUUAAUGCACGUGUGUAAGGUGUCAUCCAAUUUAAGCAUAGGCAGACUGCACAGGCUGCUCUGGAACAACAUUAUGCACAUGCAUUAAGUCCAGUUUAUUCAGAGCAUGUCCCUAAUGAAGUCCAGCCGUUCUGAAUGGUUAUUAACACAAUGGCAAACCAAGCCUGUUGAUGGGGCUAUUCUUGUUCAUCUAUGCAAUGUUUUGUAUUUAUAUCGGUAAAUGUUUGCACCAUAUUUACAUGUCUUUCUUAAUAUAUUGGAAUAUAAACACUGUUUCUAUUCCGA